UACGUAGGGGGCGAGCGUUGUUCGGAUUUACUGGGCGUAAAGGGCGCGCAGGCGGCCAUUCAAGUCAGGCGUGAAAGCCCCGGGCUUAACCUGGGAGGUGCGCUUGGGACUGGGUGGCUAGAGAUCGGGAGAGGAGAGUGGAAUUCCCAGUGUAGAGGUGAAAUUCGUAGAUAUUGGGAAGAACACCGGUGGCGAAGGCGGCGACCUGGUCCUUGACUGACGCUGAGGCGCGAAAGCGUGGGGAGCAAACAGG
rnacentral:rRNA from 1 species